rnacentral:rRNA from 1 species
CCUACGGGAGGCAGCAGUGGGGGAUAUUGGACAAUGGGGGGAACCCUGAUCCAGCGACGCCGCGUGAGUGAAGAAGUAUCUCGGUAUGUAAACCUCUAUCAGUAGGGAAGAUGAAAUCACGGUCCCUGAGUAAGAAGCCCCGGCUAACUACGUCCCAGCCGCCGCGGUAAUACGGAGGGUGCAAGCGUUAUCCGGAAUUACUGGGUGUAAAGGGAGCGUAGACGGUGAUGUAAGUCUGGUGUGAAAGGCGGGGGCCCAACCCCCGGACUGCUUUGGAAACUAUGUGACUGGAGUGCAGGAGAGGUGAGCGGAAUUCCUAGUGUAGCGGUGAAAUGCGUAGAGAUUAGGAGGAACACCAGUGGCGAAGGCGGCUCACUGGACUGUAACUGACGUUGAGGCGCGAAAGCGUGGGGAGCAAACAGGAUUAGAUACCCCUGUAGUC